CAUGCGAGUCGACACAGCAAUGUGUGGCAUACGGCUCAGUAACACGUAGUCAACAUGCCCAGGGGACGUGGAUAACCUCGGGAAACUGAGGCUAAACCGCGAUAGGUCACUACUUCUGGAAUGGGUAAUGACCCAAACCUAUAUAGCCCCUGGAUUGGACUGCGGCCGAUCAGGCUGUUGGUGAGGUAAUGGCCCACCAAACCUGUAACCGGUACGGGCUCUGAGAGGAGGAGCCCGGAGAUGGGCACUGAGACAAGGGCCCAGGCCCUAUGGGGCGCAGCAGGCGCGAAACCUCUGCAAUAGGCGAAAGCUUGACAGGGUUACUCUGAGUGAUUUCCGUUAAGGAGAUCUUUUGGCACCUCUAAAAAUGGUGCAGAAUAAGGGGUGGGCAAGUCUGGUGUCAGCCGCCGCGGUAAUACCAGCACCCCGAGUGGUCGGGACGUUUAUUGGGCCUAAAGCAUCCGUAGCCGGUUCCGCAAGUCUUCCGUUAAAUCCACCUGCUCAACAGAUGGGCUGCGGAAGAUACUAUGGAGCUAGGAGGCGGGAGAGGCAAGCGGUACUCGAUGGGUAGGGGUAAAAUCCGUUGAUCCAUUGAAGGCCACCAGUGGCGAAGGCGGCUUGCCAGAACGCGCUCGACGGUGAGGGAUGAAAGCUGGGGGAGCAAACCGGAUUAGAUACCCGGGUAGUCCCAGCUGUAAACGAUGCAGACUCGGUGAUGAGUUGGCUUUAUGCCAACUCAGUGCCGCAGGGAAGCCGUUAAGUUUGCCGCCUGGGGAGUACGGUCGCAAGACUGAAACUUAAAGGAAUUGGCGGGGGAGCACCACAAGGGGUGAAGCCUGCGGUUCAAUUGGAUUCAACGCCGGG
rnacentral:rRNA from 1 species